AUUGAACGCUGGCGGCAGGCCUAACACAUGCAAGUCGAGCGGUAACAGGACUAGCUUGCUAGUUGCUGACGAGCGGCGGACGGGUGCGUAACACGUAGGAAUCUGCCCGGUAGUGGGGAUAGCCCGGAGAAAUCCGGAUUAAUACCGCAUACGCCCUAAGGGGGAAAGAUGGCCUCUUCUUGAAAGCUAUCACUAUCGGAUGAGCCUGCGUCGGAUUAGCUGGUUGGUGGGGUAAAGGCCUACCAAGGCGACGA
rnacentral:rRNA from 1 species